AGUAAGAUAAGCUAAAUAAAGCUUUUGGGCCCAUACCCCAAAUAUGAUAUUACUAAUAUCUCUUACUA
rnacentral:tRNA from 1 species